rnacentral:rRNA from 1 species
CUACGGGCCGCUACAGUGGGGAAUAUUGGACAAUGGGGGAAACCCUGAUCCAGCAAUGCCGCGUGUGUGAAGAAGGCCUGCGGGUUGUAAAGCACUUUCGGUUGGGAGGACUGCUUCUAGCACUAAUAUUGUUGGAAGUUGACGUUACCUUCAGAAGAAGCACCGGCUAACUCCGUGCCAGCAGCCGUGGUAAUACGGAGGGUGCAAGCGUUAAUCGGAAUUACUGGGCGUAAAGCGCGCGUAGGCGGCUAGAUCAGUCGGGUGUGAAAGCCCCGGGCUUAACCUGGGAACUGCAUCCGAUACUGUCUAGCUUGAGUACAGGAGAGGAGAGUGGAAUUCCACAUGUAGCGGUGACAUGCGUAGAUAUGUGGAGGAACACCAAUGGCGAAGGCAGCUCUCUGGCCUGAUACUGACGCUGAGGUGCGAAAGCGUGGGGAGCAAACAGGAUUAGAUACCCUCGUAGUC